rnacentral:lncRNA from 1 species
AGAUAUUACUCAUCCCAUCCCUGACUUGACUGGCUACAUCACUGAGGGACAGAUCUACGUGGACAGACAGCUGCACAACAGGCAGGUGUGUGCCCUGCUGCUCUCAAGGUGCUUUGGGUUAUUCUGGAUUUGAAGGAUUCCUGUUAAUUCUGGGUGUUCUCCCCCAGAUCUACCCUCCCAUCAAUGUCCUGCCCUCCCUGUCCCGGCUGAUGAAGUCGGCCAUCGGCGAGGGGAUGACCAGGAAGGACCACGCUGAUGUGUCCAACCAGCUGUACGCCUGCUACGCCAUCGGCAAGGACGUGCAGGCCAUGAAGGCCGUGGUGGGCGAGGAAGCGCUGACCUCUGAUGAUCUCCUGUACCUGGAGUUCCUGCAGAAGUUUGAGAAGAACUUCAUCGCUCAGGGGCCCUACGAGAACCGCACGGUGUUCGAGACGCUGGACAUCGGCUGGCAGCUGCUCAGGAUCUUCCCCAAGGAGAUGCUCAAGAGGAUCCCCCAGAGCACCCUGGCUGAGUUCUACCCUCGGGAUGCCAAGCACUAGCCCGGCUCCUCGUGCCCCUGCUCUGUGGUUUGGUUUCCUUUUCCAUGUGUUGGUGUUUCCCUGUCGCCCUCCCAGCUCCACCCAGCAGCAGGUGACACUUGUGGCGGUGUUCCCAACUGAGAGCAGUUUGGAAAAUUAUCCCUUCUCCCACAGGCUGCAUCUCCAGGAGGAUGCUGUGAAAAUGUGCAAUAGCCACCGUGAGGUUUGGGCUUUGAAAUGAGCUUUUUGUGGGGUUCUCAAGGCUCUGAGUGUGACCAGAAAUUGCAAAUCUUCACUUUGAAACUGUGGGUUAGAAAACAUAAAAGAAGAAAUGUGACUUGCAUUCCUUGGUGGCAACAAAUGUGACAACGUUCCUUGGUGAAAAAUGCAGAUUUUUAACCAGGGCUGCACAUUCUGAAAGGAUGUGGAAGUGACACUUCCAGCAAAGGUGGCAAAGUCCUUGUCCUUUCAGAGGACAAAAGCCAGUGAGGUGCUACCUGAAACUCGCAGGGUAAAGCUUAAUUAUUGAACUGCAGGUUUUAAAUUGAAGUUUGCAGAGUAAAUUUCCUCCUUCGCCCUCUUUUGGUUGGAUUCUGGAGAUGCCAAACAGAACCAGCAGCUCAGUUUGGGCUCAGAAUUGUCACCACAGCUGUUGGUGGCUCAAGGCUUUGUGCUGCUGCUGAGGGGAAUCCUGAGAGCUGAAAACCAACCUAAAACCUGGCCUAGGUCUGCUGGUGUGAGCUCAGCUUUUAAACCAUGGCCUGCACACACAAGGCAACAGGAGUUGAUAGAAAAGGCAGCUGUUAAUGUGAGAAGGGAUAUUUCCAACCUGCUCCAGGUGUGCCAUGGCUGGAGCUGUUGUGGUUUGCACUCCAGGCACAGAUUUGCCUCAGCAUUCCCAAACUCUGCAGUCCUGGCUGGGCAAUUCCGUGUUGUUCCUUUUCCAACGGGUUCAGCCGAGGCUCUGGGCCUGCUGCUGCUGCUGCUGGCACAAUUCCAUCAAUUCCUUGCUUUUUCCAGGCUUUCCUGUAGUCUGAGCCCUGGGCUGGCUCAGCAGAGCAUGUUGCACCUCCCUGCAGUGUCUGGGAAGGUGCUAACAUGACUGGAAUGUGCAAAUUCCAGCUUUCCCUGACGUCCCCUGUGCAGUUCUCUGGUUUGUCCCGUGUUCUCUGUGGCUGCAGCAGCGACCUGAUUCCAGUGCAUUCCACCCAAAGCUGUGUCCAGUCUCUUUUUCCUGAGGUCAGGAUGGGAGGGCAGAAGCCUUGGCAUGAAAACACUUUAAUGUAGAGAAAUCUCUAAAUAAAUUAAAUAUGGAAGGUGUUAAACA